AAUCUAUCAAAUCCACACCACAUAUAUGCCUGUGAACCUAAAUCGUUGGCCAGCAAUCUUGGAUGCUCGCUCCUCUGUGGAGUGAACAGAGAGGAUUGUUUGGGGGGCGUGCAUUUCAUAUGCAUUUCCCCUAGGCGUUCAUGCACUGGCUCUUGCCAUUGUAUGGGCUUCGGCCGUCUGUCUAACUCCACACCAAACUUAAACCAACCAUAAACCGACUGUACUGCAUAGUGCCGUACUGUCAAAAACCUAGACAACUCUCAACAACGGAUAUCUUGGCUCUCAGAUCGAUGAAGAACGCAGCGAAAUGCGAUACGUAGUGUGAAUUGCAGAAAUACGUGAAUCAUCGAAUUUUUGAACGCAAAUUGCGCUCGAGGCUUCGGCCAAGAGCAUGUCUGCCUCAGCGUCGGGUUAAAACUCGCCUGUUUGUACACUCUGUUGUACACACACGUGCGGAACUGGCUGUCUCAGCAUAUAUUUGACUGGGUCAGCUGAAGUAUGCAGCUGUUGAUGCAUGGACCCGCUAUAUGGGCCUCUACUGGGUAGGCAAUUGAUUUUGCUGUCAUGCUUUAGUAGAUGGCCUAGGAUCUGUGUGUAUCAGCACAAAACAGGAAACACCGACUCGUCGGUGUUCAACUAUUACUUUAUCCGACCUGAGCUCAGGCAAGA
rnacentral:sRNA from 1 species